AUUGAACGCUGGCGGCAUGCCUUACACAUGCAAGUCGAACGGCAGCACGGGAGCAAUCCUGGUGGCGAGUGGCGAACGGGUGAGUAAUAUAUCGGAACGUGCCCAGUCGUGGGGAUAACGUAGCGAAAGCUACGCUAAUACCGCAUACGAUCUAUGGAUGAAAGCGGGGGAUCGCAAGACCUCGCGCGAUUGGAGCGGCCGAUAUCAGAUUAGGUAGUUGGUGAGGUAAAGGCUUACCAAGGCGACGAUCAGUAUCUGGUUUGAGAGGACGACCAGCCACACUGGGACUGAGACACGGCCCAGACUCCUACGGGAGGCAGCAGUGGGGAAUUUUGGACAAUGGGCGAAAGACCUGAUCCAGCAAUGCCGCGUGCAGGAAGAAGGCCUCGG
rnacentral:rRNA from 1 species